rnacentral:rRNA from 1 species
GACGAACGCUGGCGGCGUGCUUAACACAUGCAAGUCGAACGGUGAAGCGCCUUCCUUUUUGGUGGGUGUGGAUGAGUGGCGAACGGGUGAGUAACACGUGAGUAACCUGCCCCCUUCUUCUGGAUAACCGCAUGAAAGUGUGGCUAAUACGGGAUAUUCUGGGUCUGUCGCAUGAUGGGUCUGGGAAAGAUAUUGUUUCGGUGGGGGAUGGGCUCGCGGCCUAUCAGCUUGUUGGUGGGGUGAUGGCCUACCAAGGCGGUGACGGGUAGCCGGCCUGAGAGGGUGGACGGUCACACUGGGACUGAGACACGGCCAAGACUCCUACGGGAGGCAGCAGUGGGGAAUAUUGCACAAUGGGCGCAAGCCUGAUGCAGCGACGCCGCGUGAGGGAUGGAGGCCUUCGGGUUGUGAACCUCUUUCGCCAGUGAAGCAGGGCUGCCUCGUUUGUGGGUGGGUUGACGGUAGCUGGAUAAGAAGCGCCGGCUAACUACGUG